rnacentral:lncRNA from 1 species
UUUUAUUUUUAAGUUUCGGUUUUCUUAGAUCCGGUUUAUUUAUUUAGGUUAAAUUAGUUAGAGAUCGUUCGUUCGUUUAGAUCUUUCAGUGAAUGCAUUCAUUAGGUUAGAUCUGUUUAGCGAGCGUUCGUUAGAUAGAUUUUACUUUCCUGUUUAUUUUUCUGCCAGGGACCUAGUUGUAGUUGUUUUAUUUUAUAGUUUAGCCCCUGAUCUUUAAACGGCCACAACUCUUUGCUCGCUUACUCAAAUCCAACGAAACCAACGCCCACUUCUUCGUUAUGAUCUCCUCUUUCUAGUUAAUCAACUUGAACAUGUUUUUGAAAGUUUAAAAUAUGAUUUCAAACAGAUUUGAAUUCAAACUUCUUUUGUUCAUAACUUGAGUUUUACAACUCCGAUUUAGUUGAUUCUUUUUGCAAAUCGAAGCUCUUGACCUAAACUUUCUGAUAAGGCAAAAUUCACAUAAUUUUGGUACUGUUAGAAAUUGUUUUAUGUUGCAAGAGUUAUUUGCAUGGUUUUGAUGUUUUCCGAACUAUCUUCUUCGUUCUUCCGAUCUUUUGAGUGAUUGCUUAUGUGUGGUUACUAUUGCUUGCUUACGAUAGAUUGACCGGAGUGUGAUGAGUAGAACUAUCAGGAGUUAUGAGUGCAAAUCAUCUUCAUGAACAGUACGAGGCAAGUUCACACUUUGAUCAUACGCUUCAUACCCAGUUUUAUGCAUUAGUUUCAACCCUCAAACAUUGCAUGAGUAGGAUUGAUAACAUGUGGGUAUUGGGAAGUAGUAGAUGAGGUAGAACCUAUUGCCCUUUAUAUCAAACCUUGGGAGUUACUUCUACGUUAUGCUCAUACUGCUCUGCUAAGCUCGUAGGCGUGGAUUAGUUGAGUGAUUCAUGACAGAUGUGAGAGUUAUUAUUAAUGGUUAACUUAAGGUGGCUACUUUAAUACACAUCCGGGUGGAAUGGUAGGAGCACCCUGGAGCACCCAGUGGUUUGCCCGGGCACCUGGAGAACCCAGUGCUUGCCCAAGGGGAUCCCGGAGGACCCGUGUGAUCACCCUAUGGAAUGCCACCCAGGCUCAAAGGGAUCAUAAGAUUAUUCAUGCUAGAAACUUCCGUGUGCAGCCACAAGCUAUUAUGGGCUCUAGCAUAGUUGAGUAGGUUGCAUGACCUCCAGUGGUAGGCUAGCAGAUGUAGGGGAUAUAGGUUGGUACUGUCUACCCAGGGUUAGAGUUAAUGCUUCUGAAAGACUGUGUCUCGGUCAUCCGUUUCUCAAACACCAUGUAGUGCGAGAAAUCCAACGGAGGAGAUCGGAUCUUGUGGGGAAAAGUGCACAAACCUCUACAGAGUGUACAAACUAAUCAUGAUUAGCCGUGUCCCCGGUUAUGGACAUCUUGAAUAUCUGGUUCUUGGAUUAUCAUGUUGAACUCAUCACUUUACUUAAUUAGUGUGUUGGGUUGAUAAUUACUAUUUUGGGAUUGAGUUGGAGGAACCUUCUCAAUGUUUUCAACAACUUUGUAGUUAAAUAAAAUAUAUUCCUUUGUAGUAGGGAAAAAUUGGCUUUUCGCAAAAACAUUAAACCAUAGAGCUCUUCCACCAGCCCAAUAUGCAUGUAGUGAUAGCUAUUAUUCAUCAUGAUCCUAUGGUGUGAAUUUGCCAAUACAUUCAAUGUACUGACCCUUUGUGGCUGCAACGUCUCAUGUUGCAGGAAUCUUACGACGAGUAAGUGAUACGUUAGGGUUACGAUUUCUACACUCAACUUUGUCAUUGGUGUUGAUGGGAAUCCACAACCUUGUUGUUACUUCCGCUAUUUGGAUUGAGGUAAUAGUAUUUACGUUACUUUAUCCAUGUGAUUUACCUCUGUUAUAAAUCCUCGAGUACUGUGUGUGUCAGCAUACUGAUCCAGGGAUGACACUUAAGCACAGAGACUUGACCGUCUGAGGUUGGGUCGCUACAUCACAUCUCGGCGACAUCGACGCGAUGGAGGCCGAUAUGGACGACAUCAUCACGGCCAGAUCGACCGCCGCCGCCUCCCCAUGGUUCACUGCCCAAGACGACACAAUGGACCUCAACGACGUCAUGGACGACGAGCUCGACUACGGCGAGGAGGAGCCAGAGGAGGAGGAGGAGCUGGUGCCUGCUCCGGCGAGGAAACAGAAGAAGAAGAAGAAGAAGAAGGGGGCGGCCAGAACCGGCGGGCCGCGCAUCAAGUGGGCGUCCAAGGAGCAGGAGUGUCUCGCCGAAGCAUGGAAAGUCGUCUGCCUCGACCCGAUCACCGGCACGAACCAGAGCAUCGACACAUAUUGAGAGCGCAUCAAGGCCGAGUUCGACGAGCGUAAGCUCGUUGACCCCCUACUUCAAAGGCGUCUACAUGCAGUGCGGGUCGAAGGCAAUGGCGAACCAUUGGGGGCUCAUCCAAACGGCGUGCAAAAAAUGGCAUGGGAUCAUCGAGGAGAUCGCGGCUCGCCCGGAGAGCGGCGCCAGCAUGGAAGAUCAGGUAUGGCACGCCGGUCUCGCACUUUUUUUGCCGUAUGCGCGCCCGCCAACUGUUUGUUCCUCGGCGCAGCUGCUGCGGAUGUUCGCCAUGUAUCGCCAGGAUAGCAGCGACCAAGAUUUCAAGUACCUCCAUGUCUUCAAGCGUAUCGACAAGUGCGAGAAGUGGGCGGAUACCCGGCGCACCCUCGCCAAGGCCAAGGAGACCUACAAGCCAGACGCGCCGACGCCGGGUGCGGGCGACGGGCGCCCGAAAGGCAACAAAGGGGCCAAGAAGGGGAAACACGCCGACUCGGCUACCACACGAGUGCAAGAGUCCAUUGAGCAUUGCCUCGCCGACGCACAGACCCGGGCCGCCCUGCGUGAAGAGAAGACCGAGGCACAGUGGUCGGCGUUGAUGACGAACAACACCGUCAAGCUCGACCUACUCCGGACCAACGUCGCCGCGAAGAAGAGGAACAUCGACCUGGCUUUCCUGAUGGGCGGGGCGGACAUGCUCCAAAGCAACGACGAGCAGCUCAAGGCGUGGUACCUGGUGGAGCGUGGCCUCAACCUAAACUAGCUGCCGUCGACGGCGCCGCCAACACCCACGCCCACGCCGACGCCGCCGCCAAGCCCGAGCGCCUCCACGACGCCUAGCAGCACAGAAGCCGCGCCGACGCCGCCCAGCACAGAAGCCGCUCCGACGCUGCCAAGCCCGCGCACGCCCACUCCGCCGACUCCGGAGGCCGACCUCGUCGUCUGAUGCGUUGCCCACGCGUUCUUUCUUUUUGUACGCCGAACUUUUCAUUUGAUCGUCGAACUGUGGCAAGGUGAUUGCCGAACUAGGCCGCUGAUCGCCGGACUUGUGACGUUUUUUGGCAGCGGGAAUGACCAAGUUUGAAUUUGGCGCACCUUGGGGGCGGCACCUGGGGGCGUGGCUGGGACCUAGAUCGCCCCCAGGGCCUAAAAAGCGUCGGGCGAGCGCCCGAAAGAGCGCCGGCCUAUGUGCUGGGCGGCCGAACGAGUGAAGAUGCUCUUAGAAGCAAUGAAAGCUAGACACCAUAUGAAAGAUGCAACGAAUAUCACUCUACCAAAUUAAAACUGUCUCAUCAUAAGUGCCCUUUCAACAAAUUAGAAGUAGUACAAGUUAGAAAAGAAUGUGAGAUGUAACCUAUAUCACACUGCCAAGUCAAACAUGUCUUAUGAUAAGUGAUUGUUGCAGGUUACACAACAGUAGUACUUUGAUGUAAGAACAUGGUGUGAUAGAUAGAUAUUGUAUGUUCUAGAAACAGGAACACGUGUCUUAUUCACAAGUAUAAUGUGUAAAGUAAGUACAUGAAAUUCAAAAAAAUUAGAAGCAAUACUGGUGCGCGUCGGUCCUAAACAAACGGUUUUAACCCCUUUUCGCGACGGCAUUUGGAACCGUCGCCAAGUGAGUGUGUGCGAUAGGGUGUCCUUCCCACACGACCCAGAAAUCGUCGGGGAUAGGCCCUCCUGGGACCCAGGCUGGGGCCGUGUGUGAUCGGGCGAGGCAUCGAAACCCAAUCAUUUCCGUAGGUAUGUACAUCCCACACGGUAAUCCGAGAAAAUCAUUUCUGUAGGUAUGUACAUCCCACACGGUGGAUCCCAGAAGAACAUUUCCGUUCGUAUGUAUAUCACACAUAGUCAAUCCAAGGAAUACGUUUCCGUUAUUAUGUACAUCCCACACAAUCAAUCCAGGGACAACGUUUCCGUUCGUACGUACAUCCCACACGGUUUUAUGUGUAGGCUCGUGUGUGAAAGGUGUAACUAUCACACAUAGUCUGCCUUGGUUAACUGUUUGCUUUUAUCAACUAUAUCACACACGAUUUGAUGAACAAAACUGUGUGGCAUUGGGCUAUCCAUCGCAAGCGCUUUUACUGCUAGAACCGUUUGCAAAGGUCCAUGACACAUUUAGCAGGUUUAUUAGUUUACAAUUAAUAAUUCCAGUAUUACGCAAAUUCACAUUUCAUAUCGAACAGGUGUUUGCCAAUUUCAUAUCAGGCACAUAGAUAUAUUAUAACAUCACAGUACGGUUGCUACAUGAAAACAUCACAGUACAACAUAUAGCUAGUUCAACUUCAUAAGAACAAUAUAUUCAUUUCCCUAAUCGAGAUCAUCCAGGCUCGUCUUAUCCACCUUUGCUUUCAGUUCAGUAAGAACCCGUUUUGCACGGGCCAACUGGGAAAGUGCCUCCUCCUUCGCCAACACCAUCUUAGCAUAGUCUGAAUUAAAAAAUCUGAGCUCAUUCUCCACCUUCAACUUUUUAUCCCGCAUCUUGAAAUAUGCUUCAGCGUUGACAAGACUUUCUCUAAGCCUACGCGUGUUCUCUUCCUCAUACAUGCUCCAGAGCUUCGCUAGGCACAUCUUCAAAGACUGUGGCCACUCUUGAUCAACCCGCUCCAAGUAAGAACACUUCCAUUUAUCCUAUAAUAUUUAAAACUAGAUCAGUAACAAUUGUAGGGGAAAUGGGUUCAUAGAAACAUAGAAAAUCACCAAUGCUUAUUUUGAAAAACUGAAGAAACAUGUUAAUUAUGACAUAUCUUCUUAGAAAGAUCAAUGUGCAAAUGAAAUAAUUGGUACUGAGACAACAACCAAAUUCUGGAACAUCAGAAGCUAUAAUUAACUACAACGACGCUACAAGUUCUUACUCAUGUACAAUAAAUAAAAAAUUGAACAUUUUAUGAGGAAAGUAAAUAUAACCGCAACAGCAUAGCGGCAGUGUUUGGAUGACAACAAAUUGAUACUAACAGGUGUGUACAUGCACAAAUUUAGUAACAUAGAACUAAUAGCACUAAUUAAGGCCGUCCACUAUGUAUGCCAAAACUGGGGUAAAGACAACUGUUGCUACAUCUCGCAACGGUGCCCUGCACUGGCGAGCCGAUGCAGCGGGAAAAAAUAGCAGGCACCCGGACUCCGGAGCACGUGGUUGUUCCGAUGCCCAGUUCCUUCGUGCCAUAAAGAUUUAGUAUUUUACUGCUUGGCUGCUGUAACACCCCGCAUGUAACUUGCCAUAUUUGUAACUCCGACUCUUGCCAUUUUUGGCUAUGUGUUAUGUUAUUCCCUCCGUGGUCGGGUUUUGUCUUUUGUUUUGCAUUCUGUCUUGUCAUGCAUUUUCAUAUCAUGUCAUCAUGUGCAUUGCAUUUGCAUACGCGUUCGUCUCAUGCAUCCGAGCAUUUUCCCCGUUGUCCGUUUUGCAAUCCGGCGCUCCUAUCUCCUCCGGUGCACCCCUCUUGUUUUCUGUCAUGUGCGGGUGUCAAACUUUCUCGGAAUGGACCGAGGCUUGUCAAGUGGCCUUAUUAUACCACCCGGAGACCAUCGGUCAAGUUUCGUUCCAUUUGGAGGUCGUUUGGUACUCCAACGGUUAACCGGGCAUCCGCAAAGUCCAUUUGUGUGUGCAGCAAACCCCCCCUCAAAACCAGCCCAAAACCCACCAAACUCUCUUCCAUGCUCUAGGUCGUUCGAUCACGAUCGUGUGGGCGAAAACUGCACCUCAUUUGGAGCCUCCUAGCUCCCUCUACCUAUUUAUAUGUGAGACCUCCCGUAUACGAAUCGCAGUCAAACCCUAACCCUCAUCCCCGUGCGCCGCCGGACACGUCCGCCCCGGCCGGACACAGCCACGCCGCCGCCCCGUCCACUCACGUUCUGCCACGUGGCAAGCCCGUCGUCGCCGCCGCCGAAGCCCGCAGGCCCGACGCCGGCCCCCGCGGCCCGGCGCCUGCCCACGCCGUCGCCUGCUCCCGCCGCCGCCGAGCGCCGUCGCCGGUCGCCGCUCCGCCGCCCCAUCCGCCGGUCGCCGGAGUGCGCCACGCUGCCCGACGCCGCCCGCCGUCCUCGCCCCGCCGCGNNNNNNNNNNNNNNNNNNNNNNNNNNNNNNNNNNNNNNNNNNNNNNNNNNNNNNNNNNNNNNNNNNNNNNNNNNNNNNNNNNNNNNNNNNNNNNNNNNNNNNNNNNNNNNNNNNNNNNNNNNNNNNNNNNNNNNNNNNNNNNNNNNNNNNNNNNNNNNNNNNNNNNNNNNNNNNNNNNNNNNNNNNNNNNNNNNNNNNNNNNNNNNNNNNNNNNNNNNNNNNNNNNNNNNNNNNNNNNNNNNNNNNNNNNNNNNNNGCGUCCUCCUCCUCCCGCCGGCCCACCGUCUCCUUCCUCCGGCGUCGCUCCGGCCGAGCUCGAGCUCCCAGUGCUCCCCGAUCCAGAUCUGUUGACCAAGGUUGACCCGAGCCCCCCUCUAAAUUUUCUAAGUCUGGGAUAUUCUACAGCAUAUGCCUCUGUUCAAUAGUGCAUAACUCCUUGCAUGUACCUCCGAUUCACGCGUGUAAUAUGUCAAAUUGUUCGUCUCGCGAUGCUCUACAUUUUGUUCAAUUGCACCAUGUUUAUUAGAGGUCAUCUUGAUGCCCAAAUCUCUGUUGGAAUAUGGGCUAGUUGCUAUUAUCUUCUGGUUCUUAGCAGAACUUGGAGAUUUGUCAUUUUUGUAUCAUUAAAUCUGUGCAUCUUAUGAGCAUGAGCUCUACAUGUGUUUUGUUUUAUGCCAUGCCAUCUUUCCAAGGGUGUAUGCCAUGUAUUUUUGUGAUCUCUGUGAUGACUAGCACAAGCAUGCAAAGUAGGCUCCGUAAUGUAGUCUUUGUCUGCUGUUAUUUUGUUGCCAUGUAAACUUGAUGCUACAGAGAGAUCCAUGCAAAUUUUGGAGAUGUUCAGUAAGGAUGUUUUGUAGCUAUUAUUGUAUUUGAUCCAUUCCUGCCCUUGUUUGAAAUUAUGGAGUGCUAUAGCAUGACUCAAUCUUGCUCUACUUUUGCUAUAUAAUAUUUCUGGCAGAUUCUUAACAUGAUAUGCAAUUUUGCCAAGCUUAUUGCAGUUGAUCCAUACAUGCUAUGCAAUUUUUCUUGCCAUGGAUAGCUUCAUAAACAUGCCAUAUUGCUUUAGGUGUGCUUGGUUUGUAGUUCAUGGCUCUGUAGUGAGUGCAUCAAGCUCACAAAAAGGCCUACAUAUUAUUAUUUCUGCCAUGGUCUGUUUUCUGCCAAGUCUGAAACCUGAUAACGAAACUUGCUAUGUUUACAUGCUUGCCAUCAUAUCUUCUGGUACUUUUUGGCUUAUGGUCAGUAAGGGACUUUUGUCAUGUGCAUUUAGUAGAACACUCCCAUGCCUUGUUUUGAUAUGUUAAGUUCCUGUAGCAUGUUGAUUUCGUGCUCUGAACAUUGCUACCUGAUGCUGUUUUCUGCCAUGUCCAGUUUUUACCAAGUCUGUGAACCUGUUAUCUUUUGCACUUUUGCCAUGCUUGUUUGAGGUUGAUAUAUUGUGAUCUAGCCGUAUCUCAGUGUUCAUCUUUUGUCAAGCAUCUCCUGUAGAUUACUGUCAAAUUCUUUGUUGCUAUGUUGGAGUGCUGUAGCAUUGUUGUUUGUUGCAUUUUAAGUGCUAUCAUGCUGUUAAUCGCAGAUUCGUGUCAUUCUUGUUUUGCUUGCCAUUUGCAAACCGUGCAUCCGUUUCCGGUGAUCUUUAUAUCGACUUCGACCGAAAUCAUCUCAUCUUUCCAGUGGCAUACUUGGUUUGCCAAGUUAUUGCCUUUUUCAUCAUUUUCCUUCCGGAGCACGCAUAUGCAUCGCAUAUCAUUUCUUGCAUAUCAUACAUGUUUUGCAUCAUGUUGCUUGUGCAUUUCUCGUUGUUGAUUGUGGUUCCGUUUGUUUGUGUUCUUGUCUUGGGUAGAGCUGGGAGACGAGUUCGUGAACGAGGAACCUGUUGAGUACGCUUACGAGGAUCAAGUUUUCGACAACUCUGAGAACCUUGCAGGCAAGAUGACCACCCCUCGAAAUCACUUCUAUCUUUGUUUUGCUAGUUGUUCGCUCUAUUGCCAUGCUACGCUACCUAUCACUUGCUAUAUCAUGUCUCCCAUUUUGCCAUGUCAGCCUCUAACCAUCCUUUCCUAGCAAACCGUUGAUUGGCUAAGUUACCGCUUUUGCUCAGCCCUUCUUAUAGCGUUGCUAGUUGCAGGUGAAGUUGAAGUUUGUUCCAUGGCGGAACAUGAAUAUGUUGGGAUAUCAUAAUAUCUCUUAUUUAAUUAAUGCAUCUAUAUAUUUGGUAAAGGGUGGAAGGCUCGGCCUUAUGCCUGGUGUUUUGUUCCACUCUUGCCGCCCUAGUUACGGUUAUACCGGGAUUAUGUUCCUUGAGUUUGCGUUCCUUACGCGGUCGGGUGAUUUAUGGGACCCCCUUGACAGUUCGCCUUGAAUAAAACUCCUCCAGCAAGGCCCAACUUUGGUUUUACCAUUUGACGCCUAAGCCUUUUCCCCCGGGUUUUCGCGAGCCCGAGGGUCAUCUUAUUUUAACCCCCGGGCCAGUGUUCCUCUGAGUGCUGGUCCAAACUAGAGCACCGUGCGGGACCGUCCCUUGGCAAAUUGGGUUAUGUUGGUACCUGUACGCUUCGCUUAUCCGGUGUGCCCUGAGAACGAGAUAUGUGCAGCUCCUAUCGGGAUUUGUCGGCACAUUCGGGCGGCUUUGCUGGUCUUGUUUUACCAUUGUCGAAUUGUCUUGUAAAUCGGGAUUCCGAGACUGAUCGGGUCUUUCCGGGAGAAGGUUUAUCCUUCGUUGACCGUGAGAGCUUAUGAUGGGCUAAGUUGGGACACCCCUGCAGGGUAUUAUCUUUCGAAAGCCGUGCCCGCGGUUAUGAGGCAGAUGGGAAUUUGUUAAUGUCCGGUUGUAGAGAACUUGUCACUUGACCCCAAUUAAAAUACAUCAACUGCGUGUGUAGCCGUGAUGGUCUCUUCUCGGCGGAGUCCGGGAAGUGAACACGGUCUGAGUUAUGUAUGACGUAAGUAGGAGUUCAGGAUCACUUCUUGGUCAUUGCUAGAUGACGACCGUUCCGUUGCUUCUCUUCUCGCUCUCUCUUGCGUAUGUUAGCCACCAUAUAUGCUUAUUGCCGCUGCAGCUCCACCUCACUACACCUUCCUUUCCUAUAAGAUUAAAUAGUCUUGAUCUCGCGGGUGUGAGAUUGCUGAGUCCCCGUGACUCACAGAUUCUACCAAAACAGUUGCAGGUGCUGACGAUGCCAGUGCAGAUGAUGGCGUCGAUCUCAAGUGGGAGUUCGACGAGGAACGUGGUCGUUACUAUGUGUCUUUUCCUGAUGAUCAGUAGUGGAGCCCAGUUGGGACGAUCGGGGAUCUAGCAUUUGGGGUUGUCUUAUUUUCAUCUGGAUUUUGACCGUAGUCGGUCUAUAUGCAUGUAUUUUGGAUGAUGUAUGAGAUAUAUUUAUGUAUUGUGUGAAGUGGCGAUUGUAAGCCAACUCUUUAUCCCAUUCUUGUUCAUUACAUGGGAUUGUGUGAAGAUGACCCUUCUUGCGACAAAACCACUAUGCGGUUAUGCCUCUAAGUCGUGCCUCGACACGUGGGAGAUAUAGCCGCAUCGUGGGCGUUACAGCUGCUCAGAUGUGUGGACCAAUGUUGGCUGCACAAAUUGCUGAAGCGGUGCCAAAUAAUUUUCUAAUGGCACCGCUGAUGAGAUGGCAACAAUUUAAGAUACUAGGUACAAACCGCGACACUGUCUUAGGAUGCGUUUGGUUGAAGGUGUGGUAUGAAUGGGUUGGGACCGUGACAGUGUCUGAAUCACAUCUAACAAAUGAUUUGUAACAACGAAAGAGGGUCUAACCUUCUCUGCACAUGCCAGAAACUUCCUCCCACUGUCCACAGAAUCAAACGCAACUAGCUUAAUGCAUGGAGAUUGAUGGUGACAAUGAGCAGAUAGAUCUUCAUCCACCCCGCUCCAUUCGUUGCCACUGAUGGUCCUAGGGAGCUACAAGUGGAAGAAAUGACUCAAAUCGACCACCGGGUAGAAAUCCUUCAUUCCAAGUCAUAGCCCGAGAGAGAGAGAGAAGAUAGGCAUACCCGGGUGGUGAAGGAGUAGUCACCGGAGGAGCAACCGCUGGAGAGGUCUUUGAAGAAGACCAUGGCGACCCCGACGGUAGGAUGCGAGACGGCGAGAGCGAGGAAGCGGCUAUAGCUUAGCAAGGAAGGAAGGAAGGAGGAAACAGGGGAAAUGUGACUUGUGGUCGGGGAGAAAAGGGGGCGGGGAAGGGGGGGCGGGGGUAGAUAUUUUGGCGGUAGGCCAAAAUUUUGGAAAUGUGGAGGGAAACUUUGCGCGCGGUGCCACCGGACCAUUCACUUUGAACGAUUGUGUGCAUCGCAAAUGAUUCUUCUGCUUUACGCGCAUAGGAUGAGUUUGAUAAUUCAAAUUUUGGUCUCAAGGCAUGGGCACAUUCACUUUGAACGCGCGCGGUGCUGCAGGACCAUUCACUUUGAAUGAUUGUGUGCAUCGCAAACGAUUCUUCUGCUUUACGCGCAUGGGAUGAGUUUGAUAAUUCAAAUUUUGGUGGAAAUUUCCCCGGGUAUGUCAUUGCAUAAUUUAACAUCACUUGCUAAUUUGGGCACACAAAAGAGUGUACAACAGACAUACCACACUUACUGAAUCGAGCAAUUUUAGUAAUUAAACAGAGCCAGUUGACCUAAACAUUGCUCUAACAAAAGACCAGCAUUAAAAACAAAGCCUAAGUACGCAUAAUUUUAACAAAUCCGCCACCGCGCCGGCCUAUGCAUCGCCAGUGUGAGAUGAGACGUCGAUGAGUUGUCCUGGCAACAUGCCGCCGUUGGUGGACUCCGCGUCCCCCCUGCUGAAGUCGACCGCGUCCGCGUCCUCGUCCUCGGUGCCGCCCUCAAGGUUGUAGUACUCGUAGUAGUGGCUGCGCCAGAGCUCGCGUUGGUACUCCACCGCCGAUUCCUCGACGGACAGACUCUUCUCUACCUCGACCUCGGCCACGCGUAACUCCUCCUCCCGGCGCUCCUCGAUUUCCACCUCCUCCUGCAUCUCCAGCUCCCGCUCGGCGACCUCAUGAGGAAGCAGGUGCUCCAUGGCCACCGUCGCCUUUUCAGACGUGGGUUGCAUGCUGGAGUCCGAGGUGGCCUGGAAUAUCUUGGCGUGUGCAUCCUCGAUCUUGGCGUGGAUGGCCUCGACCCGGGCCGGGGCGACAUCAGCGGCACAUACGGCAGCUCGAGCGCUCUCGACGUUUGCAGCCGCCGUCCCAGCAGCAGUUGCAGCCGUCUCGGCUGCUGCAGCUGCCCUGUCGGCUGCCGCAAAUGCCCUCUCGGCAGAAGCGGCCACGCUCAAUGCGGAUACAGCGGCACUCUCGGCGUAGGCGGCCGCGUUCUCGGCACAGGCGGCAGCGCUCAGGGGGGACGCGACCCUCGUACGGGCCUUCACAAAGCGUUUCCAUGGCGUCAUCUUUGCAAGAAGGGGGUGCGGGAAUGGGGAUCGGGAUUCGUGGAUUCGGGGGUUGCCGGCACUAGAGCAGACGAGCUGGCAAAGCUUAAGGAGGGAGACUUAAAUAGACCCAGAUAUUUUCAACGCAAACGGUUCCUAGAAAACAACUGUAUGUGAUGUUGUAGAUAUUUUUUAUUAGCUGUGAAAGACGAAUUUGGAGUAAAGUGCCAACGGAUUGUGUUCUAAAUGAACGAGAAAUUUUGUAGUACUAAUACAACUGUCAUGUCAAAUUUUGGAAAAUUUCAGGGGCCAUUUGACCUUUUAAGACACUUAAGUGAUUUUCUAACAAUUUAAUGACCGUAAUUCAAAUUUGAACUACAUCUACAUGCAACGCCUAAACAAAACAGUUUUAAAAAUCAUAUCUGUGUACUUGUGUGUGAGUUAAUUCCAUAUGCAGUAAAUUAGAAGGAAUAUUCAAACAUAUUGGUCUCACGACAUGGACACAUGCAUACGUAUGCAUGGACUGACAUGGCAUUUUAGUUCCAAAAAAUAAAAAAAUUAUCAGAAAAACAUGAAACCUUGCUUGAUUUAAUGUCAUGCCACUAAUAUGAUGUGGUAAAGAAAUUGUCAUGUUUAGCGAACGUUUGGACACACACCCUUCACAAACCGGAGCAACUCGCUAGAAGGUUCAUGGUUCCGAGAGGGAACAAUGCAUGUUUGAUGACGAACGGGAGAUAGCUUCCUCUUACGACCUUCAAAUUUUUUCCUACGUUUAACGUGCACUAAUACAACUGUCAAGUGAAAAUUUGGAAAAUUUCAAGGGUCAUCUGACCUUUUAAAGACAUUUAAGUGAUUUUCUAACCAUUUAAUGACCGUAAUUCAAAUUUGAACUACAUCUACAUGCAACGCCUAACUAUAACGGUUUGAAAAAUCAUAUGUUUGUGUACUUGUGUGCGAGUUAAUUCCAUGUGCAGUAAAUUAGAAGGAAUUUUCAAACAUAUUGGUCUCAAGGCAUGGGCACAUACAUACGUAUGCAUGGAGUGACAUGGCAUUUUAAUUCCAAUAAAUAUAAAAAUGAUCAGAAAAACAUGAAACCUUGCUUGAUUUAAUGUCAUGCCGCCAAGAUGAUGUGGUAAAGAAAUUGGCAUGUUUGACGAACGUUUGGACACACACCCUUCACAAAAAGGAGCAACUCGCUAGAAGGUUCGUGGUUCUGAGAGGGAACAAUGCAUGUUUGAUGAUGAACGGGAGAUAGCUUGCUCUUACGGCCUUCAAAUUUUUUCCAACGUUUAACGUGCACUAAUACAACUGUCAUGUGAAAAUUUGGAAAAUUUCAGGGGUCAUUUGACCUUUUAAGAACAUUUAAGUGAUUUUCCAACCAUUUAAUGACCGUAAUUCAAAUUUGAACUACAUCUACAUGCAACGCCUAACCAUAACGGUUUGAAAAAUCAUAUUUUUGUGUUCUUGUGUGCGAGUUAAUUCCAUGUGCAGUAAAUUAGAAGGAAUUUUCAAACAUAUUGGUCUCAAGGCAUGGGCACAUGCAUGGAGUGCAUGCCAUGGCAUUUUAAUUCCAAAAAAUUAAAAAAUGAUCAGAAAAACAUGAAACCUUCCUUGAUUUAAUGUCAUGCCACCAAGAUGAUGUGGUCAAAAAAUUGGCCUGUUUGACGAAAGUUUGGACACACACCCCUCACAAAUCGGAGCAACUCACUAGAAGGUUCGUGGUUCCGAGAGGGAACAAUGCAUGUUUGAUGACGGACGGGAGAUAGCUUCCUCUUACGGCCUUCAAAUUUUUUCCUACGUUUAACGUGCACUAAUACAACUGUCAUGUGAAAAUUUGGAAAAUUUCAGGGGUCAUUUGACCUUUUAAAGACAUUUAAGUGAUUUUCUAACCAUUUAAUGACCGUAAUUCAAAUUUGAACUACAUCUACAUGCAACGCCUAACCAAAACGGUUUGAAAAAUCAUAUUUUUGUGUACUUGUGUGCGAGGUAAAAAAUCAUCAGACGAUGUAAAUAUCUGGUGUUCGAAAAAGAAAAUGUAAAGAUCUGGCAAGACAACCGGCCCCCACACGAUUGGCACUCUAUCUCACGGCUCGAGGUUUGGUAGGGGAUUGGCAGGGAUCAUUAAUCAGACACGGGUCUAUAUUGGAAACCGUCAGCUAUUAUGUUCACACAUGAAUUUUGCUGCGGGAAUCGUGUGUAAUUCAAACUACAGUACUCGUAAAUUCUGGCGACCGGCAUGUGUACUGUCCCCGUCGAUCUAGAUUCCAGCCGCCAAUAAAUACUACCUUGCUCACGUCGUCCCGCCUGCAUACUCAUCUGCAUCCUCCCCUCGCUCGCCCCCCCCUCUCUCUCUCAAAUCUCUGCCAUGGCGCCACCGGUCUGCCCACGCGCCGACGAGGAGUCGUUGCCCCCCGAGGACGCUCACUCGAUUAGCAGCGAUGAGGACCCCUACGCGCCGCCUGGCGAGGUUGUGCUGGACCCCCCAACUUUGGAUUGGUUUUGGGGCCAGUACAAUCUUUGUCUGUGAAAGUCGCUGCCACCGGCUGAGAAAGCCAGGCAAGUGGCGUUCAAGAAGGAGAUGGCGGAGGAGGAAGCCAGGUACUAGGCGGCCUGUGAAGCCCGUGAUGCCGCCUGGAAAAAGGAGGCGGCGGAGCUUUGGGGCGGGCGCGUCGUCGUGCCGAGGAUGUGUACGAAGACGAGUACUUCGUGAGGAAGGUCAUAGGCGCUGGGCGCCUCGUCGCUGCGUGGAGGUGGGCCGAUAAGCUCCAGCGUGCCACCGACGAGGAGCUCCGGUGGGUGCCCAACAAAAUGGCAAGAUCGGCCGCGCAUGUCCGCCAGCAAGAGGCAGAUCGGUACAUCAAGCGCUGCGAGGCGGAGGAGUCAGAUUACUGCCUCCGCACUGGGAUGACGCCGCGCACCAGGGAGCUGCUAGCGAGGGGCUGCCGGGAUACUGGCCCCAAGAGGGAUUAUUAGUUUAGUAUUGUUUGUUUUCAAUUUUAUGCAUUGUACCUAGUAGUUAAGUAUCAUCACGUAUAUGUGAUGAUAUUAUAUAUAUAUAUAUAUAUAUAUAUAUUCUAUGAUGAUCUAAUGAACAAUUAAUAUAUAUAUUAUGAAUUCCAUUUUCUAUCUGUUUUUGUAUACUAAUUUGAAUCUAGCUGUUAUCAUCCACAUAUACAGAAUGGAAAGCGUAUACACACACAUUGAAACAGAACAUAUAAGAAUGGAAAACAGAGUACACACAUUGAAACAGAGCAAUGAACAGAGCAAUACUAUGAUUGUUGUGAGUACAUAGCUAUCCACGUUGAAAUGACUUUUCAAAAUAAAAUGUGUCCAUGAGACCAUGACCAGCAGCCCUUGCCUAGGGUAGCUCUUGGCUCUGCCUGAACUCGUGUAGGCAUUUGUCCAAGCGGUCGACACGCUCGCGGUACAUCUGGAGCGUGAUCUCGAGCUCCAAGUUGGCUAUUUCAUCAAAGAUCACCAGCUCGAGGAUGCGACGGCCAUGUUCCUCUACUGCGCCCAGGUGGAUACCUGGGACAAGGAGGCGGUCGAGCCUACGGACCAACGCGUUGGCAUCCAGCGGGCCGCGGACAAGGCGAACGGCAGCAACCAUGCGAACGGCGCGGCGGGCGUCCGGUGCGGCCGGCCUCUGGUGCAAGUACGGCGCUGAGGGCCUCUGCCCACUCCUGGUGAGGAAUGGGGGUACUGACGGGACGUGUACCCAGCUGUGAUGCCGUGUCGACAGCAGGCAAGCGUCGAUGGAUCCGCUCUUGCUGUGCGGCACGCCGCGCCUCUCGCUCUGCGGUGCUCCAACGGUCUCGCCGUGCGGCGAGCCACAGCCUAUCAGCGCGGACACACCUAGCUUGCUCUGUGGCGCGCCAUCGAUCAUGUUGUGCGGCGAGCUGCAGCCUGUCGGCGCUGGCAUGCCUAUCUUGAUCCCCGGCGCUCAAGCGCCAUGCGCCAAAGGUCUAAUCAACCCUGGCGAUGACACGCAUCACGGCAUCGUCCAUCGCGUUGCCGGGGAGCGCCUCCGCCUCGACGGGCCGUGGCGCCUGCUCAUUUUCCUCAUCGACGAGGUUGGUGGCAGAGGUGGUACUUUGGUGGGUCGGCAUGCUUGGAAAAGGUGGAUGUGCUACAGGCUGCACUUGUCGCCUCCGUACGUUGCGCGCCCCCUAUGUGCAAUAUAGCAGGGUGGCGGGAAACAGGUGAGGAAAUGGCAGGAAACUGUGGCGUGUUCAUAAAACGCCAUCAAUUGAUGGAAACUUAGCAUAGAAGGAACAUCGAGCUAGCACAAGAAGUAGACGAUGAUCAGAUGAACACGGACCACACUAGGGAACCCGUCGGUGAUGAAUUCAUCAAUCCCAAACGGUUGAAUACUAGCAAGCGUUUGCCCACAACACACACGGCCUAUUCCAUCACAAACAGGUCGGAUGGAUCAACUGUAUGCCACGUAUCGCACAUUGUCAAAAAGUAACGCGGUAGACCUUCUUUAACAUGUGUUAAAAAUAAAUAAAAUAAAAAACAAGGACCUCGAUGUUAAAUUAGCUGAGGGAAUGGGUCAUUUCGGUGACAAUAAAAAACAUCCCCUGGAUAAGCCUCACGGCCGGGAGGUCUUCUUAAUAGAAGGGACAUUUGGCGAUAAGCUUGUGCCUGUUUGGAGAGAUCAUCAUAAAUUAUUAAAGUAUGCCGUUCGCGGUACAUAAAAUACUCAGCCAGGGCUGCUCCCGUAUAAGGAGCGAGGUAUUGUAAUGUAGCAGGUGAAUCCGCCAUUUCAGCUACUACAAUAGUGUAUUCCAUAGCCCCCUCCUCAUGGAAAGUAGUUACUACUUGAGCUACGGAGGAUGCUCUUUGACCGAUAGCUACAUAAACACAUAUUACACCUUGCCCUUUUUGAUUGAGAAUUGUAUCUGUGGCUACUGCUGUUUUGCCAGUCUGUCUGUCCCCAAUAAUUAACUCUCGCUGACCGCGCCCUAUAGGGAUCAUCGAAUCGAUAGCAAUAAGCCCUGUUUGAAGAGGUUCGUAUACGGAACGCCUGGAAAUUAUACUUGGAGCAGGAGAUUCAAUUAAGCGAGAUUCGGAAGCUAUAAUUUCGCCUUUCCCAUCAAUAGGUUUAGCCAGAGCAUUUACAACACGACCCAAGUAAGCCUCACUCACGGGUAUCUGAGCAAUUCUUCCUGUUGCUUUUACAAAACUUCCCUCUUGUAUCAUCAACCCAUCGCCCAUUAAUACAAUCCCAACAUUUUUGGAUUCCAAAUUCAGAGCAAUACCCCUAGUACCUUCUGCAAAUUCGACUAAUUCUCCUGACAUUAUUUCACCAAGACCUAUAAUACGAGCAAUCCCAUCCCCCACUUGAACUACGCGACCUAUAUUCUCAAUCCCUACUUUCCUAUUAUAUUGUUCAAUACGUUCGCGGAGAAUUUUAUGAAUUUCGUCGACUCGAAGGGUUGCCAUUAGUGUUUCUUGACUCUUUUUUCGGAAGCAAGGGGAAAAAUAAUGCCUAAAUUCUAAACGAAAGUAGAAGUUCAAGGCCUAAUUAAUUUAAUUAUCUCUUCCAUUCCAGGGACCCGAGAAUGCCAAUAUUAGCACGAAUCGUACGGAAAUGUAACUCGGUAUUCAAACAACUAUUCAGAGUUCCUAGAGCUCCUUGUACGGCCUGUUGGAAAACCCGCUGUCGGACCUGAUUCAUUGCCCUUUGUUUUUCAAAAUAAAGGGUUUCGUUUUUAGACUUUUCCAAUUGUUCCAAACUAAUAGAAGUAGCAUUAAUCAAAUUUGCUUUUUCUCGUUCUAUCUCAGAGUAUCCAUUCAUUCGAUACUCAUCCGCUUCUAGUUCGACUUUCUGUAAUCGAAUCCGAGCUUUUUCGAGUUGCUCAAUGGUCCCUCUACGCAAUUCUUCUGAAUUUCAAAUAGUACUCAAGAUCCUCUGUUUUCGAUUAUCUAAUAAAUCUUUUAAUGAAAGUAGAUUAUUUUGUAAGUUUACAACUUUUAUGAUCUCUUCCCGAACCAAACAUGAAUCUUUCGAUUCAUUUGGCUCUCACGCUCCUUUUUUUUUCUAUAGCUAUUUCCAUAUCUUUUUUUUAAGUAAUGAGCCUAUCCUCUAUCUUCUUUUUUAUGUUUAUAUUUCAAUAUACCGAAACCUAUAUAAGACUAGAUAAAUAUUAAGAGGACUCUUCCGCCUAGAUAAAAAUAUAUCAUGGUCAGCAAAGUUGUUUCUUUAUUUUUAUUUGCCCUCUAGUUAAUAAUUUCAAUUUCAUUAAGAAAAACUAACUAAUAAAUGGAAAAUGAAAAUUAAUAGAAUUCUUUUUUAUUUUUUUCUUCAAAUCCAAAAAAUUUCUCUUUUUUAUACAUAGGUCGUCGAUUCGGCAUUGGUUAAAAAAGGGCAGGGUGCCCCCUUUUUUUUCUAGUAAAUAGUUCAAACCAUUUUAUCGAUAUGAGUGUUCUAUAUCAGAUAAAUUUUACAUUAGCUAUUUCCCGUUUAAAUUCGGUACUAAUACUAAUAUAGUUGUAGAAAGAGUACCUCUUUUUGCCUGGACUUCAAGCAGUUUAGCUUUAACCGUGUUAAUGGUCUCACAUUCUUGGUUUAUAGAGAAUCAAAGUUGAUUUACCAAUGAGUCGCGAAAUGCUAUGGUUCUUCCAUAUGAUUUCUGAAUUUAUUCAGAAGUAAUUCGUCGAGAUCGUGCACCCUUUUCUUAUUUAUCCGAAAAAUACUAAAAAAUAUUAUAAAGUGCAGCCGGAUAGAUCCAAUCUAUUCUUGAAAUAGACAACUCGCACACACUCCCUUUCCAAAAAAAAUCAAAACACCAACCACUACAGUUAGAUUUAUUAGAUUUGUUGCUAAAAUAUCGGUAUUAAGCCCGAAACUGCCAGCGGAUGGCCAGUGAGCUAAAAAAGGGCAGGGUGCCCCCUUUUUUUUUCUAGUAAAUAGUUCAAACCAUUUUAUCGAUAUGAGUGUUCUAUAUCAGAUAAAUUUUACAUUAGCUAUUUCCCGUUUAAAUUCGGUACUAAUACUAAUAUAGUUGUAGAAAGAGUACCUCUUUUUGCCUGGACUUCAAGCAGUUUAGCUUUAACCGUGUUAAUGGUCUCACAUUCUUGGUUUAUAGAGAAUCAAAGUUGAUUUACCAAUGAGUCGCGAAAUGCUAUGGUUCUUCCAUAUGAUUUCUGAAUUUAUUCAGAAGUAAUUCGUCGAGAUCGUGCACCCUUUUCUUAUUUAUCCGAAAAAUACUAAAAAAUAUUAUAAAGUGCAGCCGGAUAGAUCCAAUCUAUUCUUGAAAUAGACAACUCGCAC